rnacentral:rRNA from 1 species
GUGGGGAAUCUUGCGCAAUGGGCGAAAGCCUGACGCAGCCAUGCCGCGUGAAUGAUGAAGGUCUUAGGAUUGUAAAAUUCUUUCACCGGGGACGAUAAUGACGGUACCCGGAGAAGAAGCUCCGGCUAACUUCGUGCCAGCAGCCGCGGUAAUACGAAGGGGGCUAGCGUUGCUCGGAAUUACUGGGCGUAAAGGGCGCGUAGGCGGACAGCUUAGUCAGAGGUGAAAGCCCAGGGCUCAACCUUGGAAUUGCCUUUGAUACUGGCUGUCUUGAGUUUGGGAGAGGUGAGUGGAACUCCGAGUGUAGAGGUGAAAUUCGUAGAUAUUCGGAAGAACACCAGUGGCGAAGGCGACUCACUGGCUCGAUACUGACGCUGAGGUGCGAAAGCGUGGGGAGCAAACAGGAUUAGAAACCCGUGUAGUCC